rnacentral:rRNA from 1 species
AGAGUUUGAUCCUGGCUCAGGAUGAACGCUAGCUACAGGCUUAACACAUGCAAGUCGAGGGGCAGCAUGGUCUUAGCUUGCUAAGGCCGAUGGCGACCGGCGCACGGGUGAGUAACACGUAUCCAACCUGCCGUCUACUCUUGGACAGCCUUCUGAAAGGAAGAUUAAUACAGGAUGGCAUCAUGAGUCCGCAUGUUCACAUGAUUAAAGGUAUUCCGGUAGACGAUGGGGAUGCGUUCCAUUAGAUAGUAGGCGGGGUAACGGCCCACCUAGUCUUCGAUGGAUAGGGGUUCUGAGAGGAAGGUCCCCCACAUUGGAACUGAGACACGGUCCAAACUCUUACGGAAGNCAGCA